CCGGCCCGGCCCUGUCCGGGCCCGAAACCGGCCCUGCUCUCCCUUCCUCCUCCUCGGAAACGACCGUCAGCGACCGCUUCCCACUGAAUGCCUUCCCACACCGUGACAGACAGACAGUGUAAGGCGUUUUGUCUCGGCCGAGGGAUGGAGAGAUGGAGUAUUUAUUUUCUCGGUCGGGGAAGUUUGCAGAGCUGAACGUUGCCCCAACAUCCCCAACAUCUGUUUCUUAUAUUCAAGUCAACUAAACUGGAAGAACUUGGCGUGGCUCUGAAUAACGCGACAGUCCUGCUGUGCUAAUCCGCCGGACAAAUGUUAAAUAUACAUUUCUCCUCAAAUUCCAAGUUGAGUAAAUUGCAUUUGAGCUUCCUCUCCUCAGAUUCCAAGUUGGGUAAAUUCCAUUUUAGCUGCCUAAUUUUCCAUAGCUAUUCUCUAAUAACAAGUAUUGUUUUGUAGAAGCAGCAGGGAAGAACAGAUGCUGUGUUUUUUCGUAGAAAUAAAUGCAUUUUUUCUCGCAGAGGCAAAUUACUUAAAAAAAAAAAUCACAUCGGCCUCAACUAUUUGUUCUGUGCAGGAUUCCUGUUCGGUAGCUAGAAGACCCACUUUAAAGAAGAUGAGGAUUUAAUUCCCCUUUCACUGGCAGAGGUUCAAACCCACCGUUCCCACCUCUCAAGGGACACCCUAAUCAAUGAGCAACCAUCUGUUCAGGGGCCCUUAUGUAACUCUUCAUGAAUUCCAAGUCUGCCGUUAAGGUAAUGCUCUUGGACUAGACUAGAUGGUAACAAGCUAAAUAAAAUGACUGCUAUUUUUUUUUGUGUC